ACUGCGCACGCGCCGGUCGGCCGGCCGCACCCACGCGGCUCAGCUCGCAAAGUUGCAGACAGCCGGGCGAACCGCUCAAUGCGCUGCUUCUGCCCGCCGCAGAGAAAGAGAAAGAAAACUCCGCAGGGGCUCCGUUGGCGUCUCGACGAGUGACAAAGAUGCUUUCCCAGAUAGAAGACCGGAGCCCUGCUCCUUUGCGAUCCGCCGAGGGCUGCAGAGAGCAUCCUCAUCCAUUUGGUCACCCCUGUCCAGGAAGAGCCUGGCCAUCCCUUUCCAGACUGGAUCUUUCAGAGGUGAAUUUUCUUCGGUGGAUUCCGAUUUGCUCCGUCUGACCAGCCUAGGCAAUCCAGCAUCGCGUGGUACCAGUGCCCCUGGGCACACUUGCUUCACGCCGGCGCCGGCUCCGCCUCGCCAGCAAGCGCAUUCCCAGGUGGUCAGGCUCAGGAUGGACCAUGAGCUUUCAAAAAGGAAAAAGGUGGAAAUCCUCAACUAUGCUGCCAUCUGAAUAAGUGUUUCUUUGUAGCAUGCACAGAGUCAAGGAAAAUUACAUCCCUGCAUUAUGUAAUGUACCAACAACGCACUUACCCACUGUUUUAAUCUAGGUUAUUCUUGAAAGCAGAGCCUGAGACAAAGGUAGACACAUUCUAUUUAUGAGUCUAACACCCAGGAGCAGGAAUGAGAGGCAGGGGAGUGAACAUGGGAAAAGGGAAAGUAAGUCCAAGCAAAACCAGAUACUGCUGUUAUCAAGUGGUCCACCCCUAUUAAUGGCUACGUAAUGCAGAACUUUCUUAGGAUUCUUCUUAAACUUUAUCUCAGAACUGUCUGCCUUAGGGAGAAUGGAGAAGUAUUUCUCCAUCAGCAGUCACCUCCUGUUUGUUGAGGGCUGCUCCUUUGGGGCAUUAACUCACCGCCCCCACCACCCCAUCCCUCUGGGCUGCAAAGAGCUGAGAGCCCACAUGGUACCUCAGCAUCGCACAUUGCUACAUCAGAGAGGUCUUAAGACACGAAACUAGAGUCUUGGUGCAUGCUCGAAGUGAGACAGUGUCAGCACAGAGCAGUGUAAUAUCUUCCAUAACUGUUCAACAGAGCCAUGACUGGACUCAGAGGUUGAAAAGAUAUGGGACCGUACACAAGAAGCAUCUUGUAAGCCUACAUAACAUAGUGUUAGACUCAUCGAAAUCUGUUUCGUUCCUUCUUUAUAAUCAAAACUUCAGUGUCCAGAAUAAGGUUGGCAGAAGGGUUAAAUAGGAAAGUUAAAUGCAUGAGAAGGUGUAUAUUUAUAAGUUUUAACCUUGAGUCAUGUUCAAGGAGAAAGUGACAUUGGAACUCGGAAAAUUAAAAAAUGAUUCUACUUGAAAAAUUUGACCAUUGCAUAGAGAUAUUAGCUAUUGUCUAAUCUUUUGUAAUCUCAGAAACAAUCGUGAGUUGUUUGUUGAAAAAUGAAAAAAUAAAAUUAACCAUUUCUUAUGUCUCCGUGAGCUUUAUAGAUCAAUGUCACUAACUUUUCCUAAGAUAAUUGUUUCCUACUGUCAAAUAGCUCUAGUGAUUACAAUCAAUGAAGGGAAAACUGAUAGAAACAUAGGUAGAAAAAUACUGGGAUAAUUUUCAUCGUAUAAAGUGUUAGCAUUAACAUUGGUUAGAAUAGAGGAGAAACUGCAUGACUCGACUGGACAUUCCUGUAUGUUGUAUGAGGCCCUAUCUUAACAGAAAUAGUGAUGUCAUCAUCAUCCUCUCUUAUUUGGUCUUGAAUUACCACGAAUAGGAUAAAACCUUUGAAUUAUGUAACUCAAUAUCUGUUAAGUUUCUACUAUGUGCGAUGUAUUGGUACUAUAAAUAUGAAUAAGACAUAAAAUAUUACAUUCA
ensembl:lncRNA